rnacentral:misc_RNA from 1 species
CUUUUCCAUGAUCACACUGAUCCGUCAGAGAACGCCAUGUUUAUACUGUAGGUGGUUUGGUGCGGGUCUACAUGUUGUCUGUUAUUUUCAAGUGAUACGUUUACUUAUUUAUUUAUAUCGUAGUAUAAAGUAUCCUGUGCGUGAAGUAGAUUUCAAUCGAUAUUGUGACCGAUUAAUUUUCAUUGGCGGUACAUGGAAUAAUUUUGUAGACGUGAACGUUUUGGUGACUUAUGGACCUACGUUUCUCGGAAUUCUUUUGCUACUUCAUAAAUUGUUUACAAGUUGUUCAUACUGCUUUGCGGCUAAGCAGAAUCCUCAGAACGUGCUAUUUGCGCUAGGAAUACAAUUUCCUUUUCAGGAAUCAACUGCAAACGUUGGAUGAACGUGAUGCAUCUUUACUAGAAGCAUUUGCGCGUUUUAUAACCUGACUACACGUCCAAAGUUUCUUCUCUUUUAACAUGUUAUUAAAUCUUUGACGAAGUAUUAAGCGAUCUGGAACAAACAAAUGAAUUUCAAGAUGUGGUCAUCACAAGGUAACAAUUCUAAUUCAAAUAAUUCAUCCAAAGAAGAAAAAAAUCUGCGUACACUGGGUAUGACAUCUGCUAUUAGUGUAGCAGAACCAAAGCCCAGUGAUUUUACUAGAACAAAUGAAUUAAAAGAAGCAUUAAAGCCUUACAAUGUGUUUGAAUCAGAAGAAGAAUUAAAUCAUAGGAUGGAAAUUUUAAGUAAAUUAAAUGCAUUAGUAAAACAAUGGAUAAGGGAUACAAGUGUUGCCAGAAAUAUGCCACCCAAUGUAGCCGAACAGGUUGGCGGUAAAAUAUAUACUUUUGGUUCAUACAGGUUAGGGGUACACCACAAAGGUGCUGAUAUAGAUGCCUUAUGUGUAGUACCACGUCAUAUUUAUCGGUCAGAUUAUUUUACAUCUUUCUUCGAGUUAUUAAAAAUGCAAGAAGAAGUUACCGAUUUAAGGGCAGUAGAGGAAGCAUUUGUGCCAGUAAUAAAAAUGAAUUUUGAUGGCAUAGAAAUUGAUAUGUUGUUUGCUAAACUGGCUCUAAAAGAAAUUCCGGAUUCAAUGGAUCUCAGAGAUGAUAUGUUAUUAAAAAAUCUUGAUCAAAAAUGCGUUAGAAGUCUUAAUGGUUGCAGAGUUACAGAUGAGAUACUGCGUUUAGUACCUAAUAUAGAAAAUUUUAGAUUGGCCCUAAGAGCCAUUAAAUUAUGGGCAAAACGACAUGGCAUAUAUAGUAAUGUAUUAGGAUAUUUAGGUGGUGUAUCAUGGGCUAUGCUAGUAGCAAGAACGUGCCAACUUUAUCCUAAUGCUGUUGCAGCAACAUUAAUAGAAAAAUUUUUCCUUGUAUUUUCUCAAUGGAAAUGGCCACAGCCAGUCCUUUUAAAGCAACCUGACAAUGUUAAUUUAGGAUUUCCUGUUUGGGAUCCAAGAGUGAAUAUAUCGGACAGAUAUCAUUUAAUGCCAAUAAUUACGCCUGCAUAUCCUCAACAAAAUUCUACCUUUAACGUUUCGGUAUCAACGAGAACCAUUAUGCAAGAAGCAUUUGAAAACGGUCUUUCAAUAACGGAAGAGAUUAUUAUGGGAAAGGCAACUUGGGAUAAAUUAUUUGAACCUCCAAAUUUCUUUGGAAAAUACAAACAUUAUAUUGUAUUAUUAGCAAGAAGCUUAACUGCUGAAGAUCAGCUUGAAUGGUGUGGACUUGUCGAAUCAAAAAUACGACACUUAAUAGGUACACUGGAAAGGAAUCCUCACAUCACAUUGGCACAUGUAAAUCCGGAGGCGUUUCCACCAUUAGAACCAGAACCAGAAAGACACUGCUCUAUGUGGUUCAUAGGCUUGCUUUUUGCCAAAAGCGAAAAUUUAAACGUUGAUCUAACGUAUGAUAUAAAAUCUUUUGUAGAUUCAAUUCUGAGACAGGCGGAACAAUUAAGCAUGUUGAAAGAAGGGAUGUGGAUUGAAGUAAAACACGUGAAAAAGAGGGAUCUGCACACUUAUGUAUCUCCUAGUUUGCUUAAACGAGAAAGAAAGGUUUCCGGUACUGUACAUAAAAACGGAAAUAUUGCUGGAAACGGUAAUAGUGGUAGCGUUUCGCCACGAAAUCCAGGGAAUACAACGAACAGAAAGAGAUUAUCCGAUCAAAGUCAAGAUGCAAGUAUGAAAAAGCGAAAAGUCAACGAUGGCGAACAGCCAUCAGUGACACACGUAGCAUGGAGAAGAUGGAUCACUAGUUGUCCAGUCUUGCGGAGAAGAUAGCAAUUCCGGAUUCAGCUUGGAUGAAUAUAAACAAACAUUAUCAGCUGCUAAGGAUGAAGGGCCUACUGGUGCAUCAACAGUAGCACAGGAAGGAUAUGUUUGCACUUGACCGCUACAGGAGUACUACCUCACAUCUAUCCACAGAUGCUCCUCUGGGCCAUCUAGACUGUAAUCACUUCUCAUGCAACCAUCCACUGCCCACUGUAAGUCCCCCGUUUCGUAAAAACAAAGCAACGUCAUGCGUUGGAGAGAACUACCCGUUGGAGUCAAUCGAUGCACGACUGUGUGUGACGGACACUCUAAUUUUAGUAUUUAUCAACAUCUACAGUCAAUGGGAACAACUAUGUUAUUGAAUAAUUGUGCCAGUGUCUGUGAUGUUAUUUUUUUAUCGUAAAUCGCGUUAGUAAUUUUGAAAAGUUACGAUCGAAAAACUAUAGAUAGCAAAGCUUCAAAACCAUCACUAUGUGAAUCUAAGAUUCAUAAUUUUAUUUUUAUAUUUCAUUUUGUACAUAUCACUUAUGAUCAUUUUUAUCCACGAAAUUAUUAAAAAAGAAAAAAAAAGAGAAAUAAGAAAAAAAAGAUGAUAAGAACAUGGUGUCGGGUGUAAAAUACAGUUCGAUGUUGUCGCGUUAAAAUGUGAAUAGACAACGAUAUUUUGAUUAAAUGCUUGUAUUAGGAUUUUCAGUCAAAUGAAAAAAAAAAAAAAAAAAAAAGGAAGGAAAAAAAAAAAAAAA